rnacentral:misc_RNA from 1 species
GUGAAUCAUCAAAUUUUUGAACGCAAAUUGCACUCUCUGGCAUUCCGGAGAGUAUGCCUGUUUGAGGGUCAUUAUAAUCAAAAUCGAGGCGAUGCUUUUUGGUUGCCGCACCGGAGUUUGGUUCACCUUACCUUUUUUUUUUAGAAGCCCUAAAAUUACCUUUUUUUUUUGCUCACUUUUAAUUCUAACACAUUUUUUUUUAUUCUUCUACCCUGUUGCCAAACUUUUUAUUAAAUCUUAAAUCAG